rnacentral:rRNA from 1 species
AUUGAACGCUGGCGGCAUGCCUUACACAUGCAAGUCGAACGGCAGCGCGGGGCAACCUGGCGGCGAGUGGCGAACGGGUGAGUAAUAUAUCGGAACAUACCCUAGAGUGGGGAUAACGUAGCGAAAGUUACGCUAAUACCGCAUACGCACUAAGGUGGAAAGUGGGGGAUCUUCGGACCUCAUGCUCAUGGAGUGGCCGAUAUCUGAUUAGCUAGUUGGUGAGGUAAAGGCUCACCAAGGCGACGAUCAGUAGCUGGUUUGAGAGAACGACCAGCCACACUGGAACUGAGACACGGUCCAGACUCCUACGGGAGGCAGCAGUGGGGAAUUUUGGACAAUGGGGGGCAACCCUGAUCCAGCAAUGCCGCGUGAGUGAAGAAGGCCUCGGUUGUAAGACUCUUUGUCUAGGGAAGAAACGGUAGAGUCUAAUAAGACUUGCUAAUGACGGUACC